AGGGGAUGGAGACCCUGCGGAGGAGCCUGUCCCGGUGGAAGAAGUACCACAUCAAGGUCCACCUGGCCGACGAGGACCUCCUGCUGCCUCUGACGGUGAGGCCCACCGACACCAUGAUGGACCUGAGGGCUCACCUGGUGCGGGAAGGGGUGACCUCGUGGAAGAAGACCUUCUUCUACAACGCCCGGGUGAUUGAGGAGCACGAGACGGUGAAGGAGGCCAAAAUCCAGAACGGGUCCGUCCUCCUGCUCAUCAGCGACAAGAGGGGAAAGGCCGUAGAUGAAUGGUAGGACAUCUGCCGUGUACUCAGAAGGUCCCAGGUUAACCCUCUGCCAUCUCCAGGUGAUGCUUGCUUUGGGAGGCUGAGGAACUGCCUGGCAUGGCGCCAUUAUUCAGAAAGACGGCGUUGUUUUUCUUAUCUCUCACGUGAACAAACAACAGCGGCUAGCAGAUAUCCAAAGGUCUCCAAGCGAGGAGGAGGAGGGGAAGAAAGAUGGAUCCGGAGAGGAACGGAGGCGUUGGCAGAACCAGAAAACGGCGCUUCAGAUCCAUGACUCUUGGGCAUUUCGAGUUGGUGACCUGAGAGAGAGAGAAAGAGAGAGUUUCUGCUUUCAGUCACUCCCUCAUGGCGCCUCCACGCUGGGUGAUACUUCAGACAGGUUGAGACACGGCAGCCUAGCCCAGUUGUCUGCUGGAAAAGCGGGAUUUCAAGGCGAGAGGGGCGGGGUGGCAGCGGCGGAGGCGGCAGAGGGUUUCAGUCACCCACGCCGGGAGAGCAGAGGUCAACUUCCUUGGGGGGAGGCUGUGCGGCUCAGUGGUUAGAGCACACACAGAGCCUAGAUUCCUGCCUUGCAGGGGGGUUGGACCAAGGUGACCCUCAGGGUCCCUCCCAAUUCUGCAAUUCAAUACCCAGGCAGCGCCGAGAAAACCUUCCUGCCGGCUGCCAGUCAGUGCUGGAGACCAGUGGUGGGCAGGGGCAGAAGGAAAAAGGGGGCGGAGCAACGCUUGCAUUGCACAGGAAGUUUCUACGUCCAAACUCUGCCCUCUCUGACCGGGUGAGCGAGAGGCAGGGUCAGAUUUCAGAGACGCACCCUGCCUGGCCAGGCAAAAACACGUGAGGAGGGUGUGAAGCAAAGGCAGUGAGGAUUGUGGCCUGGGGAAUGUUCUGAGGGCCAGGCGGGGAGGUCCAGAGGGCCACAUGUAUUCUUUAUUUAUUUAUUUAUAUAAAUUUUUAUUGAUUUUGCAACGUAUCAUUUUCAACAAUCAUUAAACAUAUUUUCAUAUCUUAUACCAUUUUUUUACUUCCGUCAAUCACAUCUGAAUUUUUUUCCAAUCUAUUCACUUAAUAUACAUUUCUUACUUCCACUAUUACAUUUA